rnacentral:rRNA from 1 species
UACGAAGGGGGCUAGCGUUGCUCGGAAUCACUGGGCGUAAAGCGCACGUAGGCGGAUCUUUAAGUCAGGGGUGAAAUCCUGGAGCUCAACUCCAGAACUGCCUUUGAUACUGAGGAUCUUGAGUCCGGGAGAGGUGAGUGGAACUCCGAGUGUAGAGGUGAAAUUCGUAGAUAUUCGGAAGAACACCAGUGGCGAAGGCGGCUCACUGGCCCGGUACUGACGCUGAGGCACGAAAGCGUGGGGAGCAAACAGG